UACGAAGGGGGCUAGCGUUGCUCGGAAUUACUGGGCGUAAAGCGCACGUAGGCGGAUUGUUAAGUCGGGGGUGAAAUCCUGGAGCUCAACUCCAGAACUGCCUUCGAAACUGGCGAUCUUGAGUCCGGGAGAGGUGAGUGGAACUGCGAGUGUAGAGGUGAAAUUCGUAGAUAUUCGCAAGAACACCAGUGGCGAAGGCGGCUCACUGGUCCGGUACUGACGCUGAGGCGCGAAAGCGUGGGGAGCAAACAGG
rnacentral:rRNA from 1 species